rnacentral:rRNA from 1 species
CAAUAGCGUAUAUUAAAGUUGUUGCAGUUAAAAAGCUCGUAGUCGGAUUUUGGCUGAGAACGAACGGUCCGCCGUUAGGUGUGCACUGAUUGGUCUCAGCUUCCUGGUGAGGAGGUGUGCUUCACGGCCACUUAGUCACCGUGGUUACUUUGAAAAAAUUAGAGUGUUCAAAGCGGGCUUACGCUUGAAUAUAUUAGCAUGGAAUAACACCAUAGGACUCCUGUCCUAUUUCGUUGGUCUCGGGACGGGAGUAAUGAUUAAGAGGAACAGUUGGGGGCAUUCGUAUUUCAUUGUCAGAGGUGAAAUUCUUGGAUUUAUGAAAGACGAACUUCUGCGAAAGCAUUUGCCAAGGAUGUUUUCAUUGA